CUAGAUGAAGCCUUUGCUCUAAAGAAUGUCUCCCAGUGUAUUGAUUUCUCAACAGAGAAUGUUACCAGUAUAAGUGAAGCUGAGGAAGAAGAAGAUGGAAAUGCUCAACCCAAACUGGAUUACACAGUAAGAGGCAAACAGUUCCUUUGCUGACGCAAGAAGGGCCACUGCGUUGGAAGACAGAGAAAGGCGUACACAGCUUAAUCGCACAAUCCGGACCAAUGAUAAAUAGGCAACAUCCAAUUGAAGAACAUCGUUUCAGAUUUAAUUAAUAAAGUGUUAUUCUAACAUG